GAUUCACUCUGGUGUCCUCUGCCUGGGCUGGCUGAGCUGUGCAUGUUGAAACAUGCCUGGACUUGUACUGGCUCGCCUGGCCGAGGAAGGAGAGAGGGCAAGGCUCUCAACGGUUUCACCAUACCCUGCUUGAAGUGACCCUCGGGCAGACAAACAACAACCAGCAGAGCAGCUCAACUCUGGCAGUUCACUGUCCUGGACACUCAGAGUGGACGGACACACUGAACAGAACCAGAACAGGACCCUGGAUCUGCAGCUGUAGCCAGUCUAUAAUCUGUCCUCGAUCCAAACACUACUUUACUGCCUAGCUCUUGGGGAUUCCCCUUCACAGUGAAACCUCCUCUUCAUCAGCCGAGACAGCAGGCUUCCUCCACUUACCUACCAGCUGCCACAGAGGAACCACAACGUUUAUCAAGGUGGGAAGCAGGCAGACUUGGAAUGAAAAUCACAGGAGGACUACAUCACUAUUCCCCCUUCGAGGCGGAAACCUAUUGAACUGACCAUUCUCUGACAAUGUCACCAGGUCGGACCUGACAGUGACCACUGUGUGUGUGUGUGGGGGGGGUACCAACCAGUGAUGAUGAAGAGGCCAGUAACGCAGGAUCUGCUGGAUGGAUGUGGCUGCUGGGAGUGUUUCUCUGGCAGUGUCUUAGCUGGUUGUUGUGAGGGGAGAGAACGAAGCAAUCAGCAAGUAUACUGCCGCAGAAACUCUUCGCACUACAAGCCCAGGCCCCUGGAAUCAGCAAGAAGGCCAUUGGCCCCCUGGAAUCAGCAAGUAGGCCAUUGUGGCCCCCUGGAAUCAGCAAGUAGGCCAUUGGCCCCCUGGAAUCAGCAAGAAGACCAUUGUGGCCCCCUGGAAUCAGCAAGUAGGCCAUUGGCCCCUUGGAAUCAGCAAGAAGACCAUUGUGGCCCCCUGGAAUCAGCAAGUAGGCCAUUGGCCCCUUGGAAUCAGCAAGAAGACCAUUGUGGCCCCCUGGAAUCAGCAAGUAGGCCAUUGGCCCCCUGGAAUCAGCAAGAAGGCCAUUGGCCCCCUGGAAUCAGCAAGUAGGCCAUUGGCCCCCUGGCUCUCAGAUGUCAUUCCCCCAGAGCGACAGAAGGAAUGAGGAAGAGAAGAGCACUAUUUUUAGUAUGAUUAGUACCACUGGACUCAUGACGGAUGAUAGACUGAUGAUGCUUUUGAUAUAUGGUGACAUUGUGUGUAUAACAUGAGUGCGUGCUAUUCUGUUUGAAACCAAUGCAAUCCUCUAGCGCCAUCUUGUGGCUCAAAUGUUAAAUUGAACCAAAUUGGACAGCGAUCAUGUGUUGAUGUGUUAUUAAGUUAUUAUAGUUAUUACCGGUUUGUAUCUCUUAAAAUAUAUAUUUGCAAUGCUUUUUGCAAUCACUUGCUCUGGGUUAUUGAAAAUAACCAGAAAAUAUUGAAAAAUAACUGUCAAUAUAGUCACGUCUAUACCUUGUCUUUGUCAUUCGUCAUUUCCUGUUUGAUCUGCAUUUUCAUUUUAAAAUACCUGUCCAAUCUUAGCACAGACCCAGGCUUAAAGAUGAUCUUGAGUCAAGAGAAACAUUGUAUGUGUGGUAGGUAGUCUAGUGGUUUAGCGCGUUGGGCCAGUAAACGAAAGGUUGCUGGAUUGAAUCCCCGAGCUGACAAGGUAAAAAUCUGUUGUUCUGCCCCGGAACAAGGCAGUUUAACCCACUGUUCCCCGGUAUGCCAUCAUUGUAAAUAAGAAUUGGUUCUUAACGGACUUGCAAAGUUAAAUAAAGUUUUUUUUUUUCUAAAUGUA